rnacentral:rRNA from 1 species
UACAGAGGGGGCAAGCGUUGUUCGGAAUUACUGGGCGUAAAGGGCGCGUAGGCGGCCUUCUAAGUCGAACGUGAAAUCCCCGGGCUCAACCCGGGAACUGCGUCCGAUACUGGAAGGCUUGAAUCCGGGAGAGGGAUGUGGAAUUCCAGGUGUAGCGGUGAAAUGCGUAGAUAUCUGGAGGAACACCGGUGGCGAAGGCGACAUCCUGGACCGGCAUUGACGCUGAGGCGCGAAAGCCAGGGGAGCGAACGGG